rnacentral:rRNA from 1 species
CCUACGGGUGGCAGCAGUGGGGAAUAUUGGGCAAUGGGCGCAAGCCUGACCCAGCAACGCCGCGUGAAGGAAGAAGGCUUUCGGGUUGUAAACUUCUUUUGUCAGGGACGAAGCAAGUGACGGUACCUGACGAAUAAGCCACGGCUAAAUACGUGCCAGCAGCCGCGGUAAUACGUAGGUGGCAAGCGUUAUCCGGAUUUAUUGGGUGUAAAGGGCGUGUAGGCGGGAAUGCAAGUCAGAUGUGAAAACUAUGGGCUCAACCCAUAGCCGGCAUUUGAAAAUGUAUUUCUUGAGUGCUGGUGAGGCAAUCGGAAUUCCGUGUGUAGCGGUGAAAUGCGUAGAUAUACGGAGGAACACCAGUGGCGAAGGCGGAUUGUUGGACAGUAACUGACGCUGAGGCGCGAAAGCGUGGGGAGCAAACAGGAUUAGAUACCCGGGUAGUC